UUAUGACUGGAGCAUUUCACACAAAAAUAUACAACAUACAACUUAGGAUACAAGUAGACAAGUUUGGGUUGAUAUGAGGUUCAAUGGAAAAAAAAAUUCAACUGUAACAGGCUGCCAAAAGUUGUUGACUUUGAGAUACAAAAAUUAUAGUUUCAUGGAACCUUACAAUUAAAGUGAAAACUAAUUUGAUGAGACGUAAAACAAGGAUGAAUGAUAAGAACCAAAGUGAUUGCAAGCCCCCAUAAAUCAUGAAAAUUCAAUUUAAUUUUUUGUAUUACAAAAUAUUCUAUUUGAGGUGCGAUAAUUGAUAUACUGCUUUCACAGAUAGUUGAACCAGAUCAAUCGAUCUUGCUCUUCAUCUCAGGUCAAUACAGAUGCCGAUGAGUCAAUGAAGAAAUUUGUUUUGGCAUUUGUUGGAAAAAAAUGGCGAGAGUGGAAGGCUAGAGUUAAACAAAUGAGGUAUACACCAUUCGACAAUGAUGCUGAUAGGUUAACUUAUCGACUCGAAAGAGUACAUGAGCAUCAAUGGCGAAGCUUAGUCUAUUAUUGGGGCACUCGGAAGGCACA